rfam:Wallemia ichthyophaga EXF-994 unplaced genomic scaffold scaffold27, whole genome shotgun sequence.
GAUCUGGUAGUUUAAUGGUAGAACGUACAGCCGAUAACUGUAAGGUAUUAGGUUCAAUUCCUUUCCGGAUCA